AGCAGCCGCGGUAAUUCCAGCUCCAAUAGCGUAUAUUAAAGUUGCUGCAGUUAAAAAGCUCGUAGUUGAAUUUCGGGACCGAUAUAUCGGUCGUGCCUCGGUACGUACUGGUAUUUUCGGUUUCUUCCUUCUGAUGAACCUUGAUGUCAUUAAUUUGGUGUCUUGGGGAAUCAGGACUGUUACUUUGAAAAAAUUAGAGUGUUUAAAGCAGGCUCACGCUUGAAUACAUUAGCAUGGAAUAAUGAAAUAGGACGUUUGAUUCUAUUUUGUUGGUUUCUAGGAUCGACGUAAUGAUUAAUAGGGAUAGUUGGGGGCAUUAGUAUUCAAUUGUCAGAGGUGAAAUUUUUGGAUUUAUUGAAGACUAACUACUGCGAAAGCAUUUGCCAAGGAUGUUUUCAUUAAUCAAGAACGAAAGUUAGGGGAUCGAAGGCGAUCAGAUACCGUCGUAGUCUUAACCAUAAACUAUGCCGACUAGGGAUCGGAUGAUGUUAAUUUUUAAUGACUCAUUCGGCGCCUUACG
rnacentral:rRNA from 1 species